CUCCCAGACAGCCUCUUCCCUCACCUACUCUAGGCCUGGGCUCCUCCCUCGCAUUGCUGCUUCCCUGAUGGCUACACACAGGAAGGGAACCCUACCCACACCAGCCCUGGCCCACUCCUUCCUACCUUCAUUUCUCUUUUCCUUUCUGGUGUCUCUUUCCACUGAGUGUAAAAAGCCCAAAGAACUGCCGAGGACACUGAGCUCAACAUCUACUGAACUCUUCAUAUGAUUCUCAUAUGAUUGGGAAGAUGGAGACCCAGCAAGAGAAAAUCUACCACGCUGUCCUUUAGGACAUGUGUGAAAAGCAUCAGCAUGAGCUACACAGGAGACAGAGGCAGGGGCAGGUUAUACCCAGGUUGAGUCCAGCUGUUGACCCAGUGAACAACACAUAGAGCAGAAUCUUAGAGUAAGGGUCAUUCUCAGGAAGCACAAAGAGCUUCUCUGGAGGAACUAGAAAUUUGAAUUCCAGGAGCAGAGCCCAAGCAGAAAGAAUCAGAGAAACUAGGAAAGUGAUUUAAAGAUAAUAAUAAAAUUCAGCAG
rnacentral:lncRNA from 1 species